rnacentral:misc_RNA from 1 species
AGGUGCGGCUGGAUCACCUCCUUUCUAAGGAGCACCACGAAAAGCACUCCAAUUGGUGGGGUGCGAGCCGUGAGGGGUUCCCGUCUGUAGUGGACGGGGGCCGGGUGCACAACAGCAAAUGAUUGCCAGACACACUAUUGGGCCCUGAGACAACACUCGGUCGAUCCGUGUGGAGUCCCUCCAUCUUGGUGGUGGGGUGUGGUGUUUGAGUAUUGGAUAGUGGUUGCGAGCAU